AUUGAACGCUGGCGGCAGGCUUUACACAUGCAAGUAGAGCGGAGUGGCGGACGGGUGCGUAAUGCCUAGGAAUCUGCCUGGUAGUGGUGGAUAACGACCGGAAACGGGCGCUAAUACCACUUCCUAUAAGUUUAGACUCGGUCGGAUUAGCACGUUGGUGGGGUAAAGGCCUACAAAGGCGACGAUCCGUAACUGGUCUGAGAGGAUGAUCAGUAACACGGGAACUGAGACACGUCCCAGACUCCUACGAGAGGCAGCAGGUGGGAAUAUUGGACAAUGGGCGAAAGCCGGAUCCAGCCAUGCCGCGUGUGUGCAGAAGGUCUUCGGAUUGUAAAGCACUUUAGGGUGUGAGGCGUUACCAGCAGAAUAAGCACCGGCUAACUUCGUGCCAGCGGCCGCGGUAAUAC
rnacentral:rRNA from 1 species